CCUACGGGGGGCAGCAGUGGGGAAUAUUGGACAAUGGGCGCAAGCCUGACCCAGCAACGCCGCGUGUAGGAAGAAGGCUUUCGGGUUGUAAACUUCUUUUAAGGGGGAGGAGCGGAAGACGGUACCCCUUGAAUAAGCCACGGCUAACUACGUGCCGACAGCCGCGGUAAUACGGUGGUGGCAAACGUUGUCCGGAUUUACGGGGUGUAAAGAGCGUGCAGCCGGAGAGAGAAGUCAGAUGUGAAAUCCACGGGCUCAACCAGUGAACUGCAUUUGAAACUGUUUCCCUUGAGUGUUGGAGAGGUAAUCGGAAUUCCAGGUGUAGCGGUGAAAUGCGUAGAUAUAAGGAAGAACACCAGUGGCGAAGGCGGCUUACUGGACGAUAACUGACGGUGAGGCGCGAAAGCGUGGGGAGCAAACAGGAUUAGAUACCCGAGUAGUC
rnacentral:rRNA from 1 species